AGCAAUAAAUCUCCACAAGUUCUUCUCUCUCUCAACUCUUUCACAUUCAUUAAGCUUUUAUCAGGUGGAUCUCAUGAUGCAAUAUUUAAACAAGCUGGCUUGGCUAGGGAGAGGCUAUGAGAUUAAAAUGAUCUCAUCAGUGUUCAGGUGGGUUAAAUGCAGCAAAGGGAUCUCUCUAUGAAUGAUCAAACUUUGGCAGAAUGCUAAAGGUAAAAAGCAACCUAUGCAUACAAGGGCAAAGACUCAUCACACCCCACCCUCUACUCAAAGCUUCCUCACUUGCUCAAAAAUCCUCACUUUUCACUCUCAUUUUCCUCUCACUAGGGGAUUCACUUUUCACUUUUCCUGUUAAGUCUUGGAACUCAAACUUUACACAGCUCUUUUUCUUUUACAACUUCUAGCCUCUUCUUUCUUUCUUAACAAAACAUUUGAGCCUUUGGCUUCUUUUCUUCCUCUUUUUUUUUUUUU
rnacentral:lncRNA from 1 species